rnacentral:tRNA from 3 species
GCCGAAGUGGCGGAACUGGUAGACGCGCACGACUCAAAAUCGUGUAGGGCAACCCCCUGUGAGAGUUCGAGUCUCUCCUUCGGCA